CGGGAUGGGUGAGUAAUGUCUGGGAAACUGCCUGAUGGAGGGGGAGUAACUACUGGAAACGGUAGCUAAUACCGCAUAACGUCGCAAGACCAAAGAGGGGGACCUUCGGGCCUCUUGCCAUCAGAUGUGCCCAGAUGGGAUUAGCUAGUAGGUGGGGUAACGGGCUCACCUAGGCGACGAUCCCUAGCUGGUCUGAGAGGAUGACCAGCCACACUGGAACUGAGACACGGUCCAGACUCCUACGGGGAGGCAGCAUG
rnacentral:rRNA from 1 species